GAAAUGCGAUAAUUAAUGUGAAUUGCAGAAUUCAGUGAAUCAUCGAGUCUUUGAACGCACAUUGCGCCCCCUGGUAUUCCGGGGGGCAUGCCUGUCCGAGCGUCAUUGCUGCCCUCAAGCACGGCUUGUGUGUUCGGCUUCCGUCCCUGGCAACGGGGACGGGCCCAAAAGGCAGUGGCGGCACCAUGUCUGGUCCUCGAGCGUAUGGGGCUUUGUCACCCGCUCCCGUAGGUCCAGCUGGCAGCUAGCCUCGCAACCAAUCUUUUUAACCAGGUUGACCUCGGAUCAGGUAGGGAUACCCGCUGAACUUAAGC
rnacentral:misc_RNA from 1 species